UACGAAGGGUGCAAACGUUGCUCGGAAUUAUUGGGCGUAAAGCGCACGUAGGCGGCGCUGCAAGUCCCAUGUGAAAUCCCACGGCUCAACCGUGGAAGUGCAUGGGAAACUGCAGUGCUUGAGUACUUAAGAGGAUCGCGGAAUUCCCGGUGUAGAGGUGAAAUUCGUAGAUAUCGGGAGGAACACCAGUGGCGAAGGCGGCGAUCUGGGAAGAUACUGACGCUGAGGUGCGAAAGCGUGGGAGCAAACAGG
rnacentral:rRNA from 1 species